rnacentral:rRNA from 1 species
UUUAUGGAGAGUUUGAUCCUGGCUCAGAGUGAACGCUGGCGGCGUGCCUAAUACAUGCAAGUCGAACGAUGAAGCUUCUAGCUUGCUAGAGUGCUGAUUAGUGGCGCACGGGUGAGUAACGCAUAGGUCAUGUGCCUCUUAGUUUGGGAUAGCCAUUGGAAACGAUGAUUAAUACCAGAUACUCCCUACGGGGGAAAGAUUUAUCGCUAAGAGAUCAGCCUAUGUCCUAUCAGCUUGUUGGUAAGGUAAUGGCUUACCAAGGCUAUGACGGGUAUCCGGCCUGAGAGGGUGAACGGACACACUGGAACUGAGACACGGUCCAGACUCCUACGGGAGGCAGCAGUAGGGAAUAUUGCUCAAUGGGGGAAACCCUGAAGCAGCAACGCCGCGUGGAGGAUGAAGGUUUUAGGAUUGUAAACUCCUUUUGUUAGAGAAGAUAAUGACGGUAUCUAACGAAUAAGCACCGGCUAACUCCGUGCCAGCAGCCGCGGUAAUACGGAGGGUGCAAGCGUUACUCGGAAUCACUGGGCGUAAAGAGCGCGUAGGCGGGAUAGUCAGUCAGGUGUGAAAUCCUAUGGCUUAACCAUAGAACUGCAUUUGAAACUACUAUUCUAGAGUGUGGGAGAGGUAGGUGGAAUUCUUGGUGUAGGGGUAAAAUCCGUAGAGAUCAAGAGGAAUACUCAUUGCGAAGGCGACCUGCUGGAACAUUACUGACGCUGAUUGUGCGAAAGCGUGGGGAGCAAACAGGAUUAGAUACCCUGGUAGUCCACGCCCUAAACGAUGGAUGCUAGUUGUUGGAGGGCUUAGUCUCUCCAGUAAUGCAGCUAACGCAUUAAGCAUCCCGCCUGGGGAGUACGGUCGCAAGAUUAAAACUCAAAGGAAUAGACGGGGACCCGCACAAGCGGUGGAGCAUGUGGUUUAAUUCGAAGAUACACGAAGAACCUUACCUAGGCUUGACAUUGAGAGAAUCCGCUAGAAAUAGUGGAGUGUCUGGCUUGCCAGACCUUGAAAACAGGUGCUGCACGGCUGUCGUCAGCUCGUGUCGUGAGAUGUUGGGUUAAGUCCCGCAACGAGCGCAACCCCCUUUCUUAGUUGCUAACAGGUCAUGCUGAGAACUCUAAGGAUACUGCCUCCGUAAGGAGGAGGAAGGUGGGGACGACGUCAAGUCAUCAUGGCCCUUACGCCUAGGGCUACACACGUGCUACAAUGGGGUGCACAAAGAGAAGCAAUACUGCGAAGUGGAGCCAAUCUUCAAAACACCUCUCAGUUCGGAUUGUAGGCUGCAACUCGCCUGCAUGAAGCUGGAAUCGCUAGUAAUCGCAAAUCAGCCAUGUUGCGGUGAAUACGUUCCCGGGUCUUGUACUCACCGCCCGUCACACCAUGGGAGUUGUGUUUGCCUUAAGUCAGGAUGCUAAAUUGGCUACUGCCCACGGCACACACAGCGACUGGGGUGAAGUCGUAACAAGGUAACCGUAGGUGAACCUGCGGUUGGAUCACCUCCUUUCUAGA